ACCCGCUGAACUUAAGCAUAUCAAUAAGCGGAGGAAAAGAAACUAACAAGGAUUCCCCUAGUAACUGCGAGUGAAGCGGGAAAAGCUCAAAUUUAAAAUCUGGCGUCUCCGGCGUCCGAGUUGUAUUCUGGAGAAGCGUCUUCCGCACCGGACCGUGUACAAGUCUCUUGGAACAGAGCAUCAUAGAGGGUGAGAAUCCCGUCUUUGACACGGACUACCGGCGCUUUGUGAUGCGCUCUCAAAGAGUCGCGUUGUUUGGGAAUGCAGCGCAAAAUGGGUGGUGAAUUCCAUCUAAAGCUAAAUAUUGGCGAGAGACCGAUAGCGAACAAGUACCGUGAGGGAAAGAUGAAAAGCACUUUGGAAAGAGAGUUAAACAGUACGUGAAAUUGUUGAAAGGGAAACGCUUGAAGUCAGUCGCGUCUUGCGGGAUUCAGCCUUCCAUUGGUUGGUGUACUUUCCGUUCGACGGGCCAACAUCGAUUUUGAUCGUCGGAAAAAGCGUGAGGGAAUGUGGCACCUUCGGGUGUGUUAUAGCCCUUGCGUAUGCGACGGUUGGGAUCGAGGUCUGCUAUAAAGGAUGUUGGCGUAAUGGCUUUAAACGACCCGUCUUGAAACACGGACCAAGGAGUCUAACAUGCCCGCGAGUGUUUGGGUGUAAAACCCAUGCGCGUAAUGAAAGUGAAAGUCGUGACCUCUGUCAUGGAGGGCAACGACGCCCGGUCUUGAGCUCUGGCGACGGAUCUGAGGUUGAGCGUGUAUGUUGGGACCCGAAAGAUGGUGAACUAUGCCUGAAUAGGGUGAAGCCAGAGGAAACUCUGGUGGAGGCUCGUAGCGAUUCUGACGUGCAAAUCGAUCGUCAAAUUUGGGUAUAGGGGCGAAAGACUAAUCGAACCAU
rnacentral:rRNA from 1 species